AAAACUCAUCUACACAACCGAGCCGCCCCCCACCGCGCCGCCCCUCACUGCCCACCACCACCACCGUGCCGCCCUCCCACCGUCGGCCCGCCCUUCCUCACCACCAGUGCCCACCAGCACCGCCCCUGCCCCCCACAGCCAACCAACAUUGCGCCUCCCUGCCACUGUUGCGCUGCCCGCCCAUUGCCCAGCACCGGUACCGCGCUGCCCUUCCACUACUGAGACGCCCACCACCGGCGCUCCUCCCCGUCGCAGCGGGAAAUCCAGUCGAUUGAUCUGUUCGCCUCCAUCGCCAAGGCGCGGCCACCCUCCUAGCAGGUUCGUCUCGCUGCCCCCGUCCACUGCAGGCAUUUGUUCAGCCCCUGCAUCUUGUGAGUACAGGCGGUUGUGGCCCCUGCAUCCCGUGUGAGUACAAGGCACAACGUGCUAAUUCGCCAGACACUGAUUCAUCCCUCUGUUUGAUUUGAAAUUUCGUUGGUAAUUGCAAGGCUGAUCACAAACACCAGUACUUUCCCCUCGGUUACUGGUAACCACGUGUAAAGCCAUCAGCGACGAUCUUGAUCCAUGACGAGGAGUCCCCCCUUCAACCCUAUAAAUUUUGUUCGGUUCUGCGACCAAAAUUGCAGAGGGCACACCCACAGCUGUUCUGAUUGAUUUCCCCUUUCCGUGACUACAAAUUCUUACUACGUUAUUAUCCUUUCCCCUUCCCUCAUUUAUCUGCUAUUAGUUCAUGUCUAUUUGCAGUUCAAAUUCUAGCUUGAUAUUUGAUUAGUGAAAAGAUAUGCUUUUAUCCAUUAUUGAAUUUUUUGGACAUUAUCAAUGAUAGAGGGUCCUUGAAAUGUGGUGAUCACAGCAAAUGUCUUGCUGUACCUGGGAGAAUGGGUGGUGUCAGGGAGACCCCAUCCCUUACGCUAGUUAGAAUUGCAGCAUUUUGGGAGCAUCGAGUGUUAGGCUUAUUUAGUUAUACCUGAUAGCUAAUUUCAUGUUGAAAUAUAAGUCUAUGACACCGUGGUUCUUCCUGCCUGGUUGAUGUUUACUCAUAUUUACUGCUCCUUACUUGCUGCUUCUCCACGUGCCUUAGUCUAAGGAUAAGUUGUGUUCCUAUUGGUACGUACACACCGAGUCCUUGCAUUAUGUUCAUUUGCUUGAUUGAACACAGACUGCAAUGUGCUCACGUUUACCAUUCAUUGGUACUCCAGUUCUCAACUCUAGUUUAAUUUUAUUCUUUUCUUGAUUGAACACACACAGGAAUUUGCUCAUUUGAAUUCAGGUUUGUUCCAUGAACAGAAGCCUGGCAUUUAUUUUUACUAAACGCAACCUGGGAUAUGCUCAAACACAACAAUGGAGAAAUAUCCGGAAAUAAAUGAUUACAAAGAAGAACUACAGAAAUAGCUAUACGAGAACAAGCUGGGUAUGCUCCAAGUUCAAGCUUGGCUAGGCGGCUGCAGCAGAUGAUGCCCAUUUAUUUCCCCGUGACUUGAAAUUUGCGUACAAGUUAACAAGAUGAUGUGGCUAGCAAAUUCAUUAAAAUUCUUUGGCUUUCUUUCUACUGAAACUAAGGUAUGUGAUGUUGUCUUUUGGUUCUGGAAAUUGUUCCACCGUAUUCUUUUAGCAAAUCCUCAGUUCAUGUAUUCAGACAUCAACAACCUCCUGCUGGGGUGAUUAUACUUUUUUCGUAAUAUUUAUGACAUCGUCCUAAAAUUACCACCCUUUUCUUCGGGAAUACAUUCAGUGUGGCUGUAAACAGAAAGGCACAAAAUUUCGUAUCCAUUUGCAGGUGUACAUGAAGGAAAAAAUCACUGAAGCUUCAUUGGCAUCGAAGCAUGUACUGCCGUUAGUACCAUGUUGCUUCAUACUGAAGUUUCAUUGGCAUCGAAGCAUCGCGAGUUUUCGCUGGAUUCCCACUAAUUAAUUAUGUCUAGGUGGUAUGUUUUCAUGCAUAAAGAACAUGGUAUUUGAUUAUUCCUGCUCAACUUUUGCAUGUCACUGAGAAACCUAUGGAUCAGUUUGUUGUUGCUAUCAUUCUUACUACUACAAGAGUUCUAUCUGUCAAGUUUAUACUUACUGGUUAUGCACUUGUGCUAUUUUAAAGGUAUUGUUGUCCAUCAAUUUACAUAUUCUCUAAUUGCUUCUAUCAAAUAAUUAUUGUUUCAUGUGUCCACAUCCAUGAGUGGAACCUGCAUUUUUAGACAGGUAUUGAUAUUGCUAAACUACUUUCUUUUGCUUGGUAGAAAAAAUACAUAUGAAUAAGCAGUAUGUUAUUCACCCACUUGCAGAUACAAUAACUGCCCCUUAUGAUAUUUAUCAGAGCAAAAUACUAGCUGUAUCAAAAAUCAGUUUCUGCAUUAGUGCAUAUGCAAAUAAAAGUAACGUUAGUACAAAGUACAUACUGUAAGUCGAUAUUCUUUCAUGGCAGAUCGUUCGAGAGAAAUUAAUGAGUUUUUCUGCAGAUUUUUUCAUAGACCGGUCAUGUGGUUCAUGCUAGCUUCACCAACCAAGUAGUGCUCAGUUCUAAUGUAUUAGAGCACGUUUUUCUUCUCAGGUCUUAUCAAGAACAUGACUAUUCUUUUCUCACGCCUUCUGAAUCAAGAUUCGAAAGAAGGAUGACUGAACGUAGCUGAAUUCUCCGGUUGGAUCAAGGAGAAAAUGAAGUCCGUAGAUUUUGCUUAGCAAGAAUUAAAGUUUACAUUGACAUAUUGAAAAAAAAUGUAAUAUCAUUAUAUAUCUUUUUCUUUGGCUGAAUUGGUGCAAAUGCUAUGGUGUAAUAUUCGGCACAAUUGUGUUACCUUUAGUCAAAUUUAUAUGAAUGUUACG